UGGGUUGGCCAAAAAGUUCGUUUGGGUUUUUGUGCAACUCCUUACGGAAAAACGUGAAUAAACUUUUUGCCCAACC
rnacentral:miRNA from 1 species